UUUGUCUGCAGCGCUUCGCUGAUCUGUGUGUAAACCCUGGAAUUAGGUCAGAAAUGUGCGUUUUGUUUGUGUUUUCACCGUUUCCUCUGUAGAAUAAUCGUGGAGAGUGUUUCAUUUAUAGAUCGCAUAUUAACUAAACUUUCAAAAGUGAUGUAUAGAUUUACAUUUAACCGAAAUUGUCUGUUAAUGUAAUUCUACUUGGGAUUAAUUGGUGUGUUUAAAUGAAGUAAUGAUCAAAUGUGAAGUGACCCAUUCACGUGACAUUGACCGAUGUUGUGUCAGGCCAGAUUUACCAUGCCCAUGUUUGUCCUGUGUCAGUGACCAUGUGAUUCGUUCCAUCCAUAUGGCGAAAAAAAUGAAAGCGAUGACCUGAUAAAGGACAUGGAUUGUUGAGAUACACCUUCCACGAAAACAUACAUCUUUGCCAUGUGCUGCUGUCUUGAGGAGGUAACUCUGCUGUCUUGAGGAGGUAACUCUGCUGUCUUGAGGAGGUAACUCUGCUGUCUUGAGGAGGUAACUCUGCUGUCUUGAGGAGGAUCCGUAUAGACUUCUCGCACAGACUUCCAGAGACCGGCCUCAAAGUCAACCACGAACGUUGUUACUUUGGUUUCGCUUAGAAGCGAAUUCACUUUCUGCAACGCAUGAACAGACAAUAAUAAUAACAAUUAGAAAUGGCGCGGCAGAGGCCGUCGCGUAUCCCCACGCCGCAUGUUUGACCCGGAGGGGCGCGCCAGGCUUACCCCGGCCAGCUCAACCGGUAGAGUGCUGAUCUCUGACUCGCUCAUGGGUUGGU